GAACUUUCUGUAGCUUCCACUUCUUCUUCAAUUUGGCGAAAUUUGCUUGAGAGAGAAAGGGGAGAGAAGAGUGCGGUGUACGGCUUGAUUAUUCGAUUGCAAAAAAUUGUUGGAUGGAUUAAUCAGAAGGAACGAAGAAAACCCAUAAACAGUUUGCCUAGAUAUAUUUUAAAAUUGAGAUGAGAUGAACAGAUAACCAUUGUCUCGAUUCUAGCAUGUGGUUGUUGUAAAGGUGGAUUUGAGAUUCAUGAGAUAAUAGGGUUUCUUUAUUUUCAACACUUGGAAAUUGGCUGUUUGGACCUGAACUAUCUGAAUAUUAUUAUGCAUAUUGAGGAAGUGAGAAGAGAGGAGGGCAUAAGAACUGGAAAUGAACAACAUGCUGAGAAUACUGUAACCAAAGGUAUUUUGGUAAAUGAUACGAAAAGGGUUUUGGUUGGAGCAGGGGGGCGUGCUCUGUUUUAUCCGACCUUACUGUAUAAUGUUCUUAGGAAUAAGAUUCAGGCAGAGUUUCGUUGGUGGGAUUUGAUUGACGAGUUUGUAUUAUUAGGUGCUGUGCCAUUCCCAGCUGAUGUCAAAAGGUUGAGAGAGCUUGGUGUUAGGGGUGUAAUCACCUUAAACGAGCCAUAUGAAACUCUCGUUCCAACUUCACUAUAUCAAGUGAGUUAUUUAUUGUACUAAAAUAACUCCACCUUGCCUGGUUGUAUCCAUAUAUAUUUUUUUCAUUGUUAGCAUUUCUAGCUGAUUUAUUUCAUUUAUAGAGCUUGUUUGAUG